GAUGAACGCUGGCGGCGUGCCUAAUACAUGCAAGUCGAGCGAACAGACGAGGAGCUUGCUCCUCUGACGUUAGCGGCGGACGGGUGAGUAACACGUGGAUAACCUACCUAUAAGACUGGGAUAACUUCGGGAAACCGGAGCUAAUACCGGAUAAUAUAUUGAACCGCAUGGUUCAAUAGUGAAAGACGGUUUUGCUGUCACUUAUAGAUGGAUCCGCGCCGCAUUAGCUAGUUGGUAAGGUAACGGCUUACCAAGGCAACGAUGCGUAGCCGACCUGAGAGGGGGAUCGGCCACACGGGAACUGAGACACGGUCCAGACUCCUACGGGAGGCAGCAGUAGGGAAUCUUCCGCAAUGGGCGAAAGCUUGACGGAGCAACGCCGCGUGAGUGAUGAAGGUCUUCGGAUCGUAAAACCCUGUUAUUAGGGAAGAACAAAUGUGUAAGUAACUAUGCACGUCUUGACGGUACCUAAUCAGAAAGCCACGGCAAACUACGU
rnacentral:rRNA from 1 species